GUGGGUUGAGUAGAAGUUAAAGUUUUAAUCAUGUCUAGGUUUGUGAACUUUUGGGUUGCCCAUAUUUAGGGGAGGUUCUGCCGAAUUUUAGGUAGAAUUUCGCUUAACGUGGGCCCCGCAAGCUCGUAUCCAGGACUUCUGGGUGUUCUUGGGUCGGGUCCUGUCAGAACAGUCCACUUUCAAUGCUUUGGCUGGCACCGCAACUGAGGCAUGAUGCAAAAGCUAGCUAUCUGGGCUACAAUGGAGUCUGGUGAAUCCUAGGUUGGUAGAUGCAAUGAAGCUAUCAUUCAAAUUACCUCUCGAUCAAGAGAACUUGGUAUCAUAGUGGAGUGCCACUGACCUCUACAAAACCGCUAAAAAAAGAACUUUCAGCGCGGUAGAUGCGCCUCCAGUGAUGAGUUCAAAGUGCAAGAGCGAGUAGCCAAUAUUCCAAGAUUUGGGGAAGUGAUCAGGAGCAUGCCAAAAAUAUGAGGAGUUAAUUGCAACACUUUCAAGAAAAACCAACAAUCAAUAAUCUGGUUACUAGUAUGUUGGAUUUAGUACACAAGGAUCUCUAGACUAUUUU